AUUGAACGCUGGCGGCAGGCCUAACACAUGCAAGUCGAGCGGAGCGGCUGACGGGUGAGUACUGCCUAGGAAUCUGCCUGGUAGUGGGGGAUAACGUCCGGAAACGGUCGCUCAUACCGCAUACUAUCAGAUGAGACUAGGUCGGAUUAGCUAGUAGGUGGGGUAAAGGCUUACCUAGGCGACGAUCCGUACCUGGGCUGAGCGGAUGAUCAGUCACACUGGAACUGAGACACGGUCCAGACUCCUACGGGAGGCAGCAGUGGGGAAUAUUGGACAAUGGGCGCAAGCCUGAUGCAGCCAUGCCGCGUGUGUGAAGAAGGCCUUCGGGUUGUAAAGCACUUUCAUCGGGGAGGCGUUACCCGCAGAAGAAGCACCGGCUAACUCCGUGCCAGCCGCCGCGGUAAUUC
rnacentral:rRNA from 1 species